UACAGAGGUCUCAAGCGUUGUUCGGAUUCAUUGGGCGUAAAGGGUGCGUAGGUGGCGCCGUAAGUCAGGUGUGAAAUUUCGGAGCUUAACUCCGAAACUGCAUUUGAUACUGCGGUGCUUGAGGACUGGAGAGGAGACUGGAAUUUACGGUGUAGCAGUGAAAUGCGUAGAGAUCGUAAGGAAGACCAGUGGCGAAGGCGGGUCUCUGGACAGUCCCUGACACUGAGGCACGAAGGCCAGGGGAGCAAACGGG
rnacentral:rRNA from 1 species